rnacentral:rRNA from 1 species
GACGAACGCUGGCGGCGUGCUUAACACAUGCAAGUCGAACGGAAAGGCCCUGCUUUUGUGGGGUGCUCGAGUGGCGAACGGGUGAGUAACACGUGAGUAACCUGCCCUUGACUUUGGGAUAACUUCAGGAAACUGGGGCUAAUACCGGGUAGGAGCUCCUGCUGCGUGGUGGGGGUUGGAAAGUUUCGGCGGUUGGGGAUGGACUCGCGGCUUAUCAGCUUGUUUGUGGGGUAGUGGCUUACCAAGGCAUUGAGGGGUAGCCGGCCUGAGAGGGUGACCGGCCACAAUGGUACUGAGAAACGGCCCAGAAGCCAACGGGAGGCAGCAGGGGGGAAUAUUGCACAAUGGGCGGAAGCCUGAGGUAGCAACGCCGCGUGCGGGAUGCUGUCCUUCGGGGUGUAAACCGCUUUGGCCUGUGACGAAGCGUGAGUGACGGUAAUGGGUAAAGAAGCACCGGCUAACUACGUG